GUCUACAGCCAUACCACCCUGAAUGUGCCCAAUCUCGUCUGAUCUCGGAAGCUAAGCAAGGUUGAGACUGGUUAGUACUUGGAAGGGAGACCACCUGGGAAUAGCAGGUGCUAUAGGCU
rnacentral:rRNA from 1 species